UGAAUUUUUAAAGGGCCGCGGUAUUCCUGACCGUGCGAAGGUAGCAUAAUCAUUAGUCUUUUAAUUUGAGGCUCGUAUGAAUGGUCGGACGAGGGAUAAACUGUUUUCAAAUAAAAAUCUUGAAUUUAACUUUUGAGUGAAAAGGCUCAAAUACUUCAAAAAGACGAUAAGACCCUAUAAAUCUUAACACCAAAUUCUAUAUUGUUCUAGAUUAUUAGUGUAAAGAAAAAUAUAGUCAAGAUGUUCUGUUGGGGCAACAAUGAUAUAAAAAGACCAACUGUACUAUCGUUUAAACAAAUAUAAUUGAGUUUUAUAGAUCCUUUUUAAAGAUUAAAAGAUCAAGUUACUUUAGGGAUAACAGCGUUAUUCUUUUUGAGAGUCCACAUCGAAAAAAGAGUUUGCGACCUCGAUGUUGAAUUAAAAAAUCU
rnacentral:rRNA from 1 species